UACGUAGGCAGCGAGCGUUGUUCGGAGUUACUGGGCGUAAAGGGUGUGUAGGCGGUUGUUUAAGUUUGGUGUGAAAUCUCCCGGCUCAACUGGGAGGGUGCGCCGAAUACUGAAUGACUUGGAGUGCGGGAGAGGAGAGUGGAAUUCCUGGUGUAGCGGUGAAAUGCGUAGAGAUGUGGAGGAACACCAGUGGCGAAGGCGACUUUCUGGCCCGAUACUGACGCUGAGGCACGAAAGCGUGGGGAGCAAACAGG
rnacentral:rRNA from 1 species